CGCAUCGAGUAGUCAUUGUUCAUCCAAAUUGACAUUUGAUUUAUUGUACACAUUAAAAAGUUGAUGGAGGAUUGCGAGGGUCAGAAAGAUUUGUUUUUCUGAACAAUUUAGGUCAAGGACACUGGCGUGAAUGAAAAUAUAAAUAGAUUUGAAACCAUCCGGGUGAAAAGGAAGUAACUGUUACGGAUGGAAAACACACACUGGCUGUUUUUUCCUAAGGAUUGGGAUCCUCGAAGUGGCUCAAAUCUUACUGCU